rnacentral:rRNA from 1 species
GAAAGUAAGUAAGGGCGUAUGGGGGAUGCCUAGGCUCUUGGAGGCUAAGAAGGACGUGGUAAGCUGCGAAAAGCUGCGGGGAUUUGCAAACGAGACUCGAUCCGCAGAUAUCCGAAUGGGACAACCCGGCAGGUAGAAGACCUGUCACACCGCGAGGUGAGCUAACCCUCUGAACUGAAACAUCUAAGUAGGAGGAGGAAAAGAAAGAAACAUCGAUUUCCAAAGUAGCGGCGAGCGAAAUGGAAGAAGCCCAAACCGAUAUUGUUACGGCAAUAUCGGGGUUGUAGGACUGCAAUAUUCAAUUAACAAUGAACUGGAAUGGUCUGGAAAGUCCAUCCAUAGAGAGUGAAAGGCUCGUACAGGUAAGUUUGUUAUGCGAUAGCAGUAUCCUGAGUAUGGCGGGACACGAGGAAUCCUGUCAGAAUCAGCCGGGACCACCCGGUAAGGCUAAAUACUCCCAAGAGACCGAUAGUGGACCAGUACUGUGAAGGAAAGGUGAAAAGAACCCCGAACAGGGGAGUGAAAUAGAACCUGAAACCAUACGCUUACAACCGGUCGGAGCAGCUUCGUGCUGUGACGGCGUGCCUAUUGAAUAAUGAGCCUACGAGUUACUAAUCACUAGCGAGGUUAAGUGCAAGGAUGCACGGAGCCGAAGCGAAAGCGAGUCUGAACAGGGCGUUUAGUUAGUGGUUGUAGACGCGAAACCUUGCGAUCUACCCUUGAGCAGGUUGAAGGUUGGGUAAAACCAACUGGAGGACCGAACGAAUAAGCGUUGAAAAGCUUCUCGAUGACUUGAGGGUAGGGGUGAAAGGCUAAUCAAGCUGGGAAAUAGCUCGUACUCCCCGAAAUGCCUUUUGGGGCAGCGUUGUAAUAAAGAGUCUACUGGAGGUAGAGCUACUGAUUGGAUGCGGGGGCUUCACCGCCUACCAAAUCCUGACAAACUCCGAAUGCCAGUAGUAUGAUUUACAGCAGUGAGUGACUGGGUGCUAAUGUCCAGUCGCAAAAGAGGAACAACUCAGACCAGCAACUAAGGUCCCGAAGAAUAUGCUAAGUUGAUCUAACGAUGUUUUGUUGCAGAGACAGCUAGGAUGUUAGCUUGGAAGCAGCUAUUCAUUCAAAGAGUGCGUAACAGCUCACUAGUCGAGCGACAGAGCGUGGAUAAUAAACGGGCAUCAAGCAUAUCACCGAAGUUCUGGGCGCGAGAGCGCGGUAGGGGAGCAUUCCAUUCAGCGUCGAAGCAGUUUCGUGAGGAAUUGUGGAGCGUAUGGAAAAGCAAAUGUAGGCAUGAGUAACGAUAAUGCGGGAGAGUAACCCGCACACCGCAAGACCAAGGUUUCCUGAUCAACGCUAAUCGGAUCAGGGUUAGUCGGGUCCUAAGGGUAAGCCGAACGGCGAUCUCGAUGGAUAAUCGGUUAAUAUUCCGAUACUAACAUAUACCUCGAUGGAGAGACGAAGGAACGUAAGUGCCGCCACCUGACGGAAUAGGUGGUUAAAGGGCGUAGGUAUAGGGGCAGAUUAAGAGUUAGUCCUUGCUGAAACCUGACAGUACAGAGAGCCUACGGGCAAUUUGAUAGAGCACCCAAGUCGACUUCCGAGAAAAUCUUCUAAGUUAUAGUAUAUGUUACCCGUACCGUAAACCGACACAGGUGGUCGAGGAGAGUAUCCUAAGGUGCUCGAGUGAAUCACGGUUAAGGAACUAGGCAAAUUAACCCCGUAACUUCGGGAAAAGGGGUCCCUAUGAAAGUAGGGCGCAGCGAAGAGGUCCAGGCGACUGUUUAUCAAAAACACAGGGCUCUGCAAAUUCGAAAGAAGACGUAUAGGGCCUGACACCUGCCCGGUGCUGGAAGGUUAAGAGGGGAUGUCAUCGCAAGAGAAGCAUUGAAUCGAAGCCCCAGUAAACGGCGGCCGUAACUAUAACGGUCCUAAGGUAGCGAAAUUCCUUGUCGGGUAAGUUCCGACCUGCA